rnacentral:rRNA from 1 species
UGGGGAAUAUUGCACAAUGGGCGCAAGCCUGAUGCAGCCAUGCCGCGUGUGUGAAGAAGGCCUUCGGGUUGUAAAGCACUUUCAGCGGGGAGGAAGGCGUUAAGGUUAAUAACCUUGGCGACUGACGUUACCCGCAGAAGAAGCACCGGCCAACUCCGUGCCAGCAGCCGCGGUAAUACGGAGGGUGCAAGCGUUAAUCGGAAUUACUGGGCGGAAAGCGCACGCAGGCGGUCUGUCAAGUCGGAUGUGAAAUCCCCGGGCUCAACCUGGGAACUGCAUUCGGAACUGGCAGGCUAGAGUCUUGUAGAGGGGGGUAGAAUUCCAGGUGUAGCGGUGAAAUGCGUAGAGAUCUGGAGGAAUACCGGUGGCGAAGGCGGCCCCCUGGACAAAGACUGACGCUCAGGUGCGAAAGCGUGGGGAGCAAACAGG